rnacentral:lncRNA from 1 species
UGAUUGAGAUAGAACUUCAAAAGAGCCUUGUCGAACUCUCCUUCAUCUCGAGAUAGAUCCUGCAAACAAAGAAGAAAUAAAACAGACCAAAAUAAUAAUUAAAUCAAAGCUAAAAGAUAAAGAAAUUAAACAACAAAGAAAAGAAACAUAAAUAAGUAACUACCGGAGACACAGGAUGAGAACCAUCUUCUGCAAAAUCAUUAGGCACAAAAGCUUCAUCCAGUGAAUCUGCACUCUCUAAAGAUGAUACUAAUGGAACAUCCUGAUGAGACACUUUCCGUAGCCUACCCAUUUAAAC